GCCUUUUAAAAGAAAGGAUGCACCGGGCACGGUGGAAGGCUGAGGUGGGAGGAUUGCUUGAGCCCAGGAGUUCUGGGCUGUAGUGCGCUAUGCCGAUCGGGUGUCUGCACUAAGUUCAGCAUCAAUAUGGUGACCUCCCGGGAGCAGGGGACCACCAGGUUGCCUAAGGAGGGGUGAACCGGCCCAGGCUGGAAACGGAGCAGGUCAAAACUCCCGUGCUGAUCAGUAGUGGGAUUGUGCCUGUGAAUAGCCACUGCACUCCAGCCUGAGCAACAUAGUGAGACCCUGUGUCUU
rnacentral:SRP_RNA from 1 species